rnacentral:rRNA from 1 species
UACAGAGGUCUCAAGCGUUGUUCGGAUUCAUUGGGCGUAAAGGGUGCGUAGGUGGCGCUGUAAGUCGGGUGUGAAAUUUCGGAGCUUAACUCCGAAACUGCAUUCGAUACUGCGGUGCUUGAGGACUGGAGAGGAGACUGGAAUUCAUGGUGUAGCAGUGAAAUGCGUAGAGAUCAUGAGGAAGACCAGUGGCGAAGGCGGGUCUCUGGACAGUUCCUGACACUGAGGCACGAAGGCCCAGGGGGAGCAAACGGG